UGGGGAAUUUUGGACAAUGGGCGAAAGCCUGAUCCAGCAAUGCCGCGUGUGUGAAGGAGGCCUUCGGGUUGUAAAGCACUUUUGUCCGGAAAGAAAUCCUUGGCUCUAAUACAGUCGGGGGAUGACGGUACCGGAAGAAUAAGCACCGGCUAACUACGUGCCAGCAGCCGCGGUAAUACGUAGGGUGCAAGCGUUAAUCGGAAUUACUGGGCGUAAAGCGUGCGCAGGCGGUUUGCUAAGACCGAUGUGAAAUCCCCGGGCUCAACCUGGGAACUGCAUUGGUGACUGGCAGGCUAGAGUAUGGCAGAGGGGGGUAGAAUUCCACGUGUAGCAGUGAAAUGCGUAGAGAUGUGGAGGAAUACCGAUGGCGAAGGCAGCCCCCUGGGCCAAUACUGACGCUCAUGCACGAAAGCGUGGGGAGCAAACAGGAUUAGAUACCCUGGUAGUCCACGCCCUAAACGAUGUCAACUAGUUGUUGGGGAUUCAUUUCCUUAGUAACGUAGCUAACGCGUGAAGUUGACCGCCUGGGGAGUACGGUCGCAAGAUUAAAACUCAAAUGAAUUGACGGGGUCAUA
rnacentral:rRNA from 1 species